AGCCCAAAUUAAAGCUUCUAA
rnacentral:snRNA from 1 species